rnacentral:rRNA from 1 species
GUCCGCACCGUAAACGAUGAUCACUCGUUGUUGGCGAUACACAGUCAGCGACUAAGCGAAAGCAUUAAGUGAUCCACCUGGGAAGUACGACCGCAAGGUUGAAACUCAAAGGAAUUGACGGGGGCCCGCACAAGCGGAGGAGCAUGUGGUUUAAUUCGAUGGUACGCGAGGAACCUUACCUGGGCUUGAAAGACAGUUGACCGUUUCCGAAAGGAGACUUUUCGCAAGAACAACUGUCUAGGUGCUGCAUGGCUGUCGU